rnacentral:rRNA from 1 species
UACGUAGGGGGCAAGCGUUGUCCGGAAUCAUUGGGCGUAAAGAGCGUGUAGGCGGUCCGGUAAGUCCGCUGUGAAAGUCGGGGGCUCAACCCUCGAAUGCCGGUGGAUACUGUCGGGCUAGAGUCCGGAAGAGGCGAGUGGAAUUCCUGGUGUAGCGGUGGAAUGCGCAGAUAUCAGGAGGAACACCAACGGCGAAGGCAGCUCGCUAGGACGGUACUGACGCUAAGGCGCGAAAGCGUGGGGAGCAAACAGG